UACAGAGGGUGCGAGCGUUGUUCGGAAUUAUUGGGCGUAAAGCGCUUGUAGGCGGCUUGUUAAGUCGCGUGUGAAAUCCCCAGGCUCAACCUGGGAAGUGCGCGCGAAACUGGCGAGCUUGAAUGCCGGAGAGGGUCGCGGAAUUCCCGGUGUAGAGGUGAAAUUCGUAGAUAUCGGGAGGAACACCAGUGGCGAAGGCGGCGUCCUGGUCUGCAACUGACGCUGUGGCGCGAAAGCUAGGGGAGCGAACGGG
rnacentral:rRNA from 1 species